CCUUACACCCACAUUACCAUUAACCUAUCUAAAAUUAUUUACAAAUUGAACAUCGUUUUCUUAUUUUUUAAAAAAAUUAAUAAUUAAAAUUUUGCCUCUCUAGUUUUGCUUUUCACACUUUUUUUCUUUUCUUGUAACUAUAGUUUUAGAGAUGAGAGAUAUCUCUGCUAGGGUUUUUUCAAUAAUGCUCAUGUUCUUCUCCCAUCUCUGCAACUACCACUGUCGCUAUUGCUGUCUUCACUCAGCACUGCCACCACCACUUCUAUUGCCGCCACACCACACUUUUCGGUCCUCUGCGUUGUUGCGUUUUGUCUCUGCUCCUGCGAACUACUCAGAGCAAAUUCUCUGCCGUCUACAAACGAGUUCUCAGAGAUGGCUCUUCUGUGGUCAUCAGAAGUAUUAAUGUGACAUGCUGCAUACCUGAGGAAAUUGAAUUCUUGAAGGGAUUGAGCCUGCUAACCUCACUGAGACAUGAAAACAUUAUAAAGAUGAGAGGUUUUUGUUACUCAAGUAGUAGAGGUGAAUGUUACCUUGUCUAUGAUUUUGUAACCGGUGAAUGUCUAUGAUUUUGUUAUCUUGAUAUGGAAGAUGGAAGUGAAAAUGUGCUUGAGUCUUCUAAUAGGGUUUCCAUCAUCAAGGGCAAUGCAAAAGGGUAGUUCUUUUUCGACACCCAAUAUUUUCUAAGAAACUCAUUGUAGAUCAGAAAAUUUGCCUCUUUCUUACAACAAGGUCUUGGAUAUCUGCACAGCAAUAAAGCAAGCAAACCUACAAUGGUUCACCAAAAUAUUUUAGUUGAAAAAGUUCUUCUUGACAAUCAGUUUAACCCAUUGAUCAUGGAUGCUGGGUUCCCCAAGCUUCUAGCAGACGACAUUGUUUACUCGGCACCGAAAGUUGGUGCUGCCAUGGGAUACCUAGCUCCUGAAUACAUUACCACUGGACGCAUCACCGAGAAGAGCGACGUUUAUGCAUUCGGUGUCAUUGUUCUUUAAGUCCUGUCUGGGAAGACAACAGUAGGGGGUUCAAUCAGAAUGGCAGUUGAGUUUUUGAGAUUUGAUGAUUUUGUGGACACAAAUCUAAAGGAAAAAUAUUCGAAACUAGAAGCAGCAAUUCUUUCAAAGAUUGCAGUGAUGUGCAUUCAUGAGCUUUCUGAGCAAAGGCCAAACAUGGUAGAGGUGAUUCAGGAACUAAGCAUGUAUUCUUCUCAUUCUUCAUGAUCUAGAACUUUCAGUGGGUAUCAUAAAUUCCUAACACAUUUGAUUCAUUCAUGACCAUGGUUUUCUUUAGUA